AUUCAUCCGGUGUUCCAUGUGUCCCAACUGAAGCCUUUCACACCAAGUUAUACUCCAGUGUUCUCUGAACUGCCUGCCGUGGACUUAUCCGCCAUGGACUCCCAACCAGUCGAGAUUUUGGAUCGGAGAAUGAUAAAGAAGGGAGACGCACCAGUGGUUCAGGUUCAUGUGGCAUGGAACACGAAGCCACCGUCGACAACCUGGGAAGACUAUGAGGUUCUUCGUCGGCGCUACCCGCAGGCGAAAAUCUGGGAAGACAGCAACUACGACGAUGGGGCCGUUUCUCAAGGCGGGGAGAAUGUCACAGUGGUGUUGCACACCACCGUGUGA
rnacentral:rRNA from 1 species